AGCUCGUAGUUGAACCUUGGGUCUGGCUGGCCGGUCCGCCUCACCGCGAGUACUGGUCCGGCUGGACCUUUCCUUCUGGGGAACCUCAUGGCCUUCACUGGCUGUGGGGGGAACCAGGACUUUUACUGUGAAAAAAUUAGAGUGUUCAAAGCAGGCCUUUGCUCGAAUACAUUAGCAUGGAAUAAUAGAAUAGGACGUGCGGUUCUAUUUUGUUGGUUUCUAGGACCGCCGUAAUGAUUAAUAGGGAUAGUCGGGGGCGUCAGUAUUCAGCUGUCAGAGGUGAAAUUCUUGGAUUUGCUGAAGACUAACUACUGCGAAAGCAUUCGCCAAGGAUGUUUUCAUUAAUCAGGGAACGAAAGUUAGGGGAUCGAAGACGAUCAGAUACCGUCGUAGUCUUAACCAUAAACUAUGCCGACUAGGGAUCGGGCGGUGUUUCUAUGAUGACCCGCUCGGCACCUUACGAGAAAUCAAAGUUUUUGGGUUCUGGGGGGAGUAUGGUCGCAAGGCUGAAACUUAAAGAAAUUGACGGAAGGGCACCA
rnacentral:rRNA from 1 species